rnacentral:rRNA from 1 species
UUGACGGGGCCCGCACAAGCGGUGGAGCAUGUGGUUAAUUCGACGCAACGCGAAGAACCUUACCUGGGCUUGACAUCUGCGGAAUUUCUACGAAAGUAGGAAGUGCCCUUCGGGGAGCCGCAAGACAGGUGCUGCAUGGCUGUCGUCAGCUCGUGUCGUGAGAUGUUGGGUUAAGUCCCGCAACGAGCGCAACCCUUGUCUUUAGUUGCCAUCAUUCAGUUGGGCACUCUAAAGAGACUGCCGGUGUCAAAACCGGAGGAAGGUGGGGACGACGUCAAGUCCUCAUGGCCUUUAUGACCAGGGCUACACACGUACUACAAUGGCCGGUACAAAGGGCAGCCACUUAGCGAUAAGGAGCCAAUCCCGUAAAGCCGGUCUCAGUCCGGAUUGGAGUCUGCAACUCGACUCCAUGAAGUUGGAAUCGCUAGUAAUCGCAGAUCAGCACGCUGCGGUGAAUACGUUCCCGGGCCUU